rnacentral:piRNA from 1 species
UGGCUCACUAUCAACAAUGAACAGCAAGC